GGAUAUAUAAUGGAGGGGUCAGAUACUGAGGCCAUUUAGGUAGAACUGAGGAAUAGGAAAGGUGCAAUCACACUGAUGUGAUUGUACUACAAACCCCCUAAUAGCCACCUGGACAUUGAGGAAUGGAUACGUAAUCAGAUUAAGGAAAUGUGUAAAAAUAAUAGGGUUGUUGUCAUGGGAGAUUUCAACUUCCCUAAUACAAACUGGGACCUUCUUAGUGCAAGGGGUUUAGAUGGGGCAAAAAUUGUCAAGUGUAUCCAGGAAGUUUCUUAAAUCAAUAUGUGGAUGGUCCAAUGAGAGGAGGGGCCAUACUGGACCUGGUCCUGGGUAAUGAGCCUGGCCAGGUGACCAGCCUUGCGGUGAGUGAACAGUUACGGAACAGUAACCACAACUCCUUAACCUUCAGGUUAGCUAUAGAUGAUGAUAGGUGUGGUUUUUGUGGGAGAGUUUUAAAUUGUUAAGAAGAGUUAAUUGGGAACACCUUUUCUCUGGCAGUCCAUAUCAAAUGUGGAGGGUGUUUAAAGAUCAAUUGCACCAAGUACAGGAGGGGUAUGCUCCUGUUAGAAGGAAGGAUGGGGAUGGAAAGAUAGAGAACCUUGGAUGUCCAGAGAGGGAAUUAAUUUAGUCAAGAAGAAAAGGAAAGUAUAUGAAGUUUCAGAAGAUAGGGUCAAAAGAAGUACAUGAGUAUAAAGAAGCCAGAAAAGAACUAAAGAAAGGAAUUAGGAAAGCCAGGAGGAACCAUGGAAAGUCCUUGGUAAGUAGGAUUAAGGUGAAUCCCAAUGCAUUCUAUACAUCAAGAGCAAGAGAGUGGGACCACUCAAGCGUGAAGGGGGAAACAUUUGCUUGGAUGCGGAGAAUGUGAGUGAGGUAUUUAAUGAGUAUUUUGCUUCAGUAUUUACCAAGGAAAAGGAUAUAGAGGACCAGGAUAUCAGUACUGCGUGAAUAAAUAUAUUACAGCGUUUAGAGGUCAAGGAGGAGGAAGUGUUGGGCUUCCUAAUGAAUAUUAAGGUGGAUAAGUACCCAGGGCCUGAUGGGAUUUACCCCGGGUUAUUGAAGAAGGCAAGAGACUAGAUUGCUGGGCCUUUGACCACAACCUUUGUGCCCUCUCUAGCCAUAGGCAAGGUCCCGGAGGACUGGUGGGUGAAUAAUGUUGUACCUCUAUUCAACAAGGGAAAAUCCUAUGAACCGUUGACCAGUGAGUCUCAUGUCAGUUGUAGGGAAAUUGCUGGUGGAAUUUCUUGGAGAUGGGAUGUAUGAGCACUUGGAAACCCAUGGCAUAAUUAGAACCAGCAUGGCUUUCUGUGUGGCCGGUCAUGCCUUACCAGCUUGAUUGAGUAGUUUGACAAGGUGAUGAGAGGUUGAUGAGGGUAAGGCAGUGGAUAUUCUCUAUAUGGAUUUUAGUAAGGUGUUUUGGCAAAUUCCCUCAUUGGAGGCUAUUCCAGAAGAUUAAGGUGCAUGGGGUCCACAGCGAAUUAGCUGUUUGGAUUCAGAACUGGCUUGCGCCUCGAAGACAGGGGGCAGUGAUUGAAGAGACUUGUUCAGGCUGGAGGUCUGUAAGUAGUGGUAUUCUGCAGGGAUCUGUGCUGGGACCUUUGCUGUUUGUCAUGUAUAUAAAUGACCUGGAUGAAAAUGUAGAAAACUAGCAAAGAAUACAACACGAUAUAGAUCAGUUGUAGAUAAUAAGCAGAGAAGUAGCAGAUGGAGUUUAACUCGGAUAAAUGUGAGGUGUUGCAUCUUGGUAGGGCAAAUGCAAGGAGAAAGUGCACUGCCAAGGGCAAGAUCCUUAACAGUGUUACUGAGCAUAGAGAUCCUGGGAUCCAAGUUCAUAGCUCCUUGAAAGUGGCUACACAAGUCAAUAAGGUGGUUAAAAAGGCUUAUGGAUGCUUGCUUUGAUUAGUCAAGGCAUUGAGUUCAAAAGUUAGGAGGUUAUGUUGCAACUUUUUAGAACUCUGGUUAGGCCAUAUCUGGAGUAUUGCAUACAGUUCUGCUCACCCCAUUAUAGGACUGAUGUUGAGGCUAUGGAGAGGGUGCAGAAGAGGUGUAACGGGAUGCUGCCUGGUUUAGAGGGCAUGUGUUAUCAUGAGAGGCUAGAUAAACUUGGGUUGUUUUCUGUGGAACCCGAGAGGCUGAGGAGAGAUCUGAUUAAGGUUUACAAGAUUAUGAGAGUCGUAGAUAGUGUGGACACAGGCUAUGUCCACACUAUGCCGGAUAAUUUUGAAAACGUCGGUUUUGAGUAAAAACGACAGGCGUACACGCUAAGCGUUUUUCAAAAUAUCUGUCCACACUAACGCGGAUAUUUGGGCGAAUCUCCUCUACUGGGCAUGCGCAGGACACACAGAAAACAAGCGAAGAGGAAACGGUAUACUUGGUGCGCGUUUGUCCAGUUACAGAGUAGAAAAACUUCAAAGGAAUUGCUCUUGGCUCUCGCGCAGGAGGACUUAAAACUAAAAAAAAAACAAAUACUGGAGCGUAUGGUGGCAACCGACAGGGAGUUCACGGAUAGUAUGACCCGGCUGAUGGCAAGCAUUGAAAAACUGACUAACUGUUGCAUUAAUAAAGCACCUUGUUAAAUGUAUAAAACAUGUCUGCUUCAGUGUUAUCUUGUAUUUCCAUACAAUGUUACAUUAGGCUGUUACACAUCUAUUGUCAGAAGUACUUGCAUAAAUAGGUAAACCACCUUCAUACAAGCAAGGACAGAAAACAGGGCAAAGUGAGUAUACUUAUUUAUUCAGUAAGCUAUGGGUCAAAGUAUUUGGUGAGUAUAUUUCUAACUCUUCUGGCUUCAGUCUCAUUGCCGUCUGUUCUGAAAUUGUUAGGUUAUGUGGGGGAUUAUGUUCAAGAAAACAACGAAAUGUCGCGCUGCAGCUAUCAGUUCCGGCAAAUCAUGACUGCAUUCUUAAAUAGUCAAAAACGCUCACUUUACAAUUUAACUCUCACGCCGUUCACACCGACUGCGUGUUAUAAUAGCUUGUGCAGAACCAAGCAGAAGCAGAAAAGGCAUUGUUGUUGUGGUGUUGUCAUGACAGCGUUUUUAAAUCUCUCCGUUUACCCCGUACACGCUACAACGGAUAUUCGGCGUUUUCAGAUUUAUUCACUCUGGAGACCAUUUCUGAAAAUCUCUGUUUUCGGGGGGUGAAAACGCCGUUUCAGUGUGGACAGAAGGUCAAAACGAAGAGAAAAGGCUUCGUUUUCAAAAUUAUCUGGUGUAGUGUGGACGUACCCACAGAGUGUCUGUUUCCCAGGGUUGAAAUAUCUAAACCCAGAGGGCAUGCAUUGAAGGUGAGAGGAGGUAGGUUUGAAGGGGAUGUGAGGGGUGAUUAAGUAUGUCGUGAGUUGCUCAGAGUUGUGGAUGCCUGGAUGCACUGCCUGGUAUGGUGGUAGAGGCAAAAAUAUUAGAGGCUUUUAAGAGAUGUUUAGAUAGCCACCUGGAUGUAAGGAAGAUGGAGGGAUAUGGACAUUGUGUAAGUAAGAGGGAUUAGUGUUUGGGUGUUACUGAUUUGCUUUUUAGCUGGUUUGGCACAACAUUGUGGUCCGAAUGGCCAGUUCCUGUGCUUGACUGUUCUAUGUUCUAUCACAUUUCUCCCCCAUUCUGAAUAACAACUGACUGCUUCGAAGCAUUGAAUAAAUCCUGCACUGUUGGAUCAUUUGAUGUCAGCACAUUUCAGUAUGCUCAUGGCAUAUGGGUGGUUUAACAUUUACGACUAAGUUUUGACAACUUCAGUUGCUUGGACUGUUGUGGUGCAUGACCUUUGAAAGCAAUGUAUUCACGAAAUCCACAACAGGGAAAUUUUAAACUCCAGUGUAUUAAAUAAACUAUAACGAAUAAAGUGGUGAAGUAACGUUUAGUGUAUUUAAUUCAUUAUUUUACUUCCUUUGUUUGAACCGUUCAUGUCCUAUUAUAUCUUAAGUCGCAUGGUUUGGUGUGCAUCUAUGAUUUGAAGAACAAGGGUGGUGGUAGUACGGGGGCGCCAUUUUAAAUAAGUUUUUCUGGCCGCGGCUUUCACCGCUAUGCUAACAAAAUGGCGCCUGAGACGAUCGUGCCUGAUUGACAUGUAAAUUCCCCGCCAAUGGUGUGGCCGUCUUCCCUAUAAAUUCCGCCCUUCUCCAGACCUUCGAUUUGAAGAGGCCCGAGUUUAUUUUACAGUCGAUUGCUUCAAAGGCUGAUUAAACUGCGCACAAUUUGAGGCUGCUUGGAUGCGCGUAGUUAAAGAUCUGGAGCCUUGGAUUUUUCUCUGGUGCUGAUUUUUUUCCUGUAAUUUGUGAUCCUUCUGUUGAAAAUUGUCGCUCCGAAAAUCGGUGUGCUCCAACUUUUAUCUUCCUUGUUCGAUGAUGCAUGCCUCCAACACGGAACCAUUGCCGUGAUUUUAAAUUACUCGCGGUUCCGAAUAGUGAUUAACUUCAUUCCUACCACGAAAUUAGUUACUUUUCUGUCAUCACCCAGAAUAGAAUGUGUAAAUCUUUUCAACAAGCAUCUUGUUUGGAAAAAAGUCAUAUAACGUAAGGGCAAUGUGGUUUAAAAACAAUUCUGAAAUCUAUCAUGCAGAUAUAUUUUUGGCCAAUGAACUGACCGCAUUUUACGCCAAAUCAAAGGCAGUGAAUUAAUUUGUAGUGUACUUCUGAACUACGUUCUUUCAAAUUAAGCUGCUUUGAAAGUCAUUGUAUUAACGUGUCUAUAUGAAAUUCUAUUAAAAUCUAACUUCACUCCGAAAAUGCUACCUUUCAUUUUUUUUAGAUUCUUCCUUCAGACUUCCCAACCCGGUGGGAAUACGUUUCUCAUCCAUUCUUAUGUGUUCCUCUUAAUCAUUCAAAUUGCAAUCACACUUGAUUCCAGAGGAUACAAGUCUCUACUUUGUAAUUUAUCCAUGUACUUUAAGCUUGAGUAUCCAUGUGUACUGGUAAAUGUAUUCUGGUAAAGCCACUCUGCACUCCAACCAAAACCAAUAUAUCCAUGUUUGGCACAGAUGUGUUGCAUGGAAGGACCAGUUUCUGUGCUAUAUUGGUCUAUGACUCUUUACAAUUAAUUAAACAUUGACAGACACAGACACAAACGGGGAUACGGACACAAUGCUGGAAGAACUCAGCAAGUCAGGCAGCAUCUAUAGCGGGCAAUAAAGGACACUGAUGAAGGGUCUCAGCCCAAAACGUUGACGGCUUAUUCCCCUCCACAGAUGUUGCCUGACUUUCUGAGUUCAUCCAGCAUUUCUGUGUGGUGCUCAAGAUUUUUAGAAUCUGCAGAAUCUCCUAUGUCUGUUAAAGUAUUGAGUGCACUUUUAUAUCACCAGCAGUUUUGAGCAAUGGUUUGGAGUAACUCAAAGCCGUUGAUCCAGAAACAGCAGAGAGUAACAUUGCUCGAAGCCCUUGUAAUUGAGCUGUACCAACCAAAAAGUCCCACUUUUGAUCUAAAUGAGAUGGUCUCAGUUGAAGUGAGAUUAAAGGUGAAACAUAGAAACAUAGAAAAUAGGUGCAGGAGUAGGCCAUUUGGCCCUUCAAGCCUGCACCGCCAUUUAUUAUGAUCAUGGCUGAUCAUCCAACUCAGAACCCUGCACCAGCCUUCCCUCCAUACCCCCUGAUCCCCGUAGCCACAAGGGCCAUAUCUAACUCCCUCUUAAAUAUAGCCAAUGAACUGGCCUCAACUGUUUCCUGUGGCAGAGAAUUCCACAGAUUCGCCACUCUCUGUGUGAGGAAGUUUUUCCUAAUCUCGGUCCUAAAAGGCUUCCCCUUUAUCCUCAAACUGUGCCCCUCGUUCUGGACUUUCCCCAACAUCGGGAACAAUCUUCCUGCAUCUAGCCUGUCCAAUCCCUUGAGGAUUUUAUACGUUUCAAUCAGAUCCCCCCCUCAAUCUUCUAAAUUCCAGCGAGUACAAGCCCAGUUCAUCCAGUCUUUCUUCAUAUGAAAGUCCUGCCAUCCCAGGAAUCAAUCUGGUGAACCUUCUUUGUAUUCCCUCUAUGGCAAGGAUGUCUUUCCUCAGAUUAGGGGACCAAAACUGCACACAAUACUCCAGGUGUGGUCUCACCAAGGCCUUGUACAACUGCAGUAGUACCUCCCUGCUCCUGUACUCGAAUCCUCUCGCUAUAAAUGCCAGUAUACCAUUCACCUGCAUGCCCACUUUCAAUGACUGGUGUAUAAUGACACCCAGGUCUCGUUGCACCUCCCCUUUUCCUAAUCGGCCACCAUUCAGAUAAUAAUAUGUUUUCCUAUUUUUGCCACCAAAGUGGAUAACUUCACAUUUAUCCACAUUAAAUUGCAUCUGCCAUGAAUUUGCCCACUCACCCAACCUAUCCAAGUCACCCUGCAUCCUCUUAGCAUCCUCCUCACAGCUAACACUGCCGCCCAGCUUCGUGUCGUCCGCAAACUUGGAGAUGCUGCAUUUAAUUCCCUCAUCCAAGUCGUUAAUAUAUAUUGUAAACAACUGGGGUCCCAGCACUGAGCCUUGUGGUACCCCACUAGUCACUGCCUGCCAUUCUGAAAAGGUCCCGUUUAUUCCCACUCUUUGCUUCCUGUCUGCUAACCAAUUCUCUAUCCACCUCAAUACCUUACCCCCAAUAUCGUGUGCUUUAAGUUUGCACACUAAUCUCCUGUGUGGGACCUUGUCAAAAGCCUUUUGAAAAUCCAAAUAUACCACAUCCACUGGUUCUCCCCUAUCCACUCUACUAGUUACAUCCUCAAAAAAUUCUAUGAGAUUCGUCAGACAUGAUUUUCCUUUCACAAAUCCAUGCUGACUUUGUCCGAUGAUUUCACCGCUUUCCAAAUGUGCUGUUAUCACAUCUUUGAUAACUGACUCCAGCAGUUUCCCCACCACCGAUGUUAGGCUAACCGGUCUAAAACUCCCCGGUUUCUCUCUCCCUUUUUUUAAAAAGUGGGGUUACAUUAGCCACCCUCCAAUCCUCAGGAACUAGUCCAGAAUCUAACGAGUUUUGAAAAAUUAUCACUAAUGCAUCCACUAUUUCUUGGGCUACUUCCUUAAGCACUCUGGGAUGCAGACCAUCUGGCCCUGGGGAUUUAUCUGGCUUUAAUCCCUUCAAUUUACCUAACACCACUUCCCUACUAACAUGUAUUUCGCUCAGUUCCUCCAUCUCACUGGACCCUCUGUCCCCUACUAUUUCUGGAAGAUUAUUUAUGUCUUCCUUAGUGAAGACAGAACCAAAGUAAUUAUUCAAUUGGUCUGCCAUGUCCUUGCUCCCCAUAAUCAAUUCACCUGUUUCUGUCUGUAGGGGACCUACAUUUGUCUUUACCAGUCUUUUCCUUUUUACAUAUCUGAACUGGGUAUAUAUGUGAAAAUGCAGAUGGGAGUUUGAUAUUGUUUAGUUAUGAGGUGACUAGGCUUCAAGCUUGGAAGUUUAUGUCAGGGGGUGAUUUUGCUAUGACCUCGUUCUGAUAGUAUCUUGCCUAUCAUUCUACAGAUUGAGGCGGCACAGUAGCGUAGCUUUACAAUACCUGGGUUUGUUUAAUUCCCUCCGCUGCCUGUAAAGAGUUUGCAUGUACUCCCUGUGAAUGUGUGGAUUUCCUCCAGGUGCUCCAGUUUCCUCCCACAGUCCAAAGAUGUACGGGUUGAUUGGUUAAUUGGUCAUUGUAAAUUGUCUUGUGGUUAGGCUAGGGUUAAAUCAGGAUUGCUGGGUGGUGCAGUUCAUAGUGCCAGUUCCGCACUGUAUUUCAAUAAAUAUACACGCCGCUAAAUUUGCUUGACUUUCCCUGGGGUGCUGUGUCGGUCUUUAAUAGUAUUCCCACCUUAUUAAGUCUCUAUAAUUAUAAUUACCAUCCAGCAUCACCAUCACCAUCCAGCGUUGAGAAGUUAGCACUCCAGGCAAUUCAUUUUUUUCCCAGAGAAAAUCCAAAAAUAAAUCCUAAACCACAACAAAUUUGUGAGCUUAUUUUUUUGACCACAAAUUCUUUCUCCACUCCCUCCACAAUAUUGCAGAUCACUUUAACCCCUUCCCACUUGCACGCUUGUUCGUCUAUCUGCCUUCUCUAUGCUACAGAGAGACCCAAUUCAAAUUGGAAAAACAUGUCAUAUUCUGUUUGGGUAGCAUUCCACACCUGCUUUCCUGUCCAACAACCUUUUAUCAUUAACCUCCCUAUUGUACUCACUGGCCAGUCUGUGACCCCUCCCAUGUAUUGCUGCUUAGACCAUAAGACAUAGGAGCAGAAUUAGGCAAUUCGGAAUUACAGUCUGCUCUGUCAUUUUAUUAUGGCUAAUCAAUAUUCCCUCUCAGACCCAAUCUCCUGCCUUUUUCACACCCUGACAAAUCAGGAACCUAUUUACCUUCGCCUUAAAUACACCCAAAGACCUGGCCUCCACAACCGCCUGUGGCAACGAAUUCCACAGAUUUACCACUCUCUGGGGUACAGAAACUUACCUCAUUCCAUUCUAAAUCGUCGUCCCUUUAUUGACACUGCCCCCCCCCCCACAGGAAACAUCCUCUCCAUAUCCGCUCUGUCCAAUUCCUCAGUCACGCAUUUAUCUGUCAAAUCAUCCUAGUUUGACUUGGGCUGUCAAAAAUAUGUAUUUGCAUAGUGUGGAAGGAUUGGUUAUGUUAUAUUUUAAAAUUCCAGCAAAAACAUCGGCACUCCAGAUUUAAUCCAAAAGCGACUGGCUGGUUAAAAAAUCUUAAUGAAAAUCCAUUGAUAGAGAAUGUUGCAUUUUCUGAACCGGUACACGUUAAAGUGUCCGAUUCCGACUCAGAAUUAACAUUUGAUGGUCACCAUGGAAUCGCAGUGGGCAGACACUCUGUUUGCAAUCAAAGGCGUCUGGAGUUUCUCUUGGCUCGGAGGACCAGCGUUGAUGCUCUUUGUCAUGAAGUUCCCCUUGACUGGGAGGACUUGCGUAGAGCCUCUUUGUGUCGGAGCUGUGAGGCAAGGAGCUGAGCCGAACUGAACUGUAUUGUAUAGGUCUUUGACUCAUGUUGGUAUGUGAUCCCAUUGGCACUUCAUAUCUGACAUGCACACUCCUGGAAUUCCAAUGCUUGAACACCAGAAGAGUUAGGAGUGGAUAAAUUCAGCUCUGAUUGCUUCAGACUCAUCUACCUCUCAAUAGAGUCCACAGUUUUGUUGAGAGAAUGAAAAAGUUGCACAUGCUUCUAGAGUGUAUUCUCAGCAUGUCAGUGUCUCGAAGUUGCAUCGAUGAACAGACGAGUUAAAUGAUCAUAAAGAAAUAGCUACUACAAAAAAAAUUACUAUGUAUACAAAUGGAGUCAUACGUCUUAGCCAUCAAUACUGGCAAGAUUAAGUUUAAAGACAUACAAGUUAAGUGUCAUUGAGUUCCUGUCUCCACUUUAUCUACUUAGCACUCAUUUAUAGUGAAAAUCUUGUGUUUUAACAUCUAGAUCUGUUUCAUUUGUCUGAGAAGUCUGUGUGCUUUACUCAGGCCAUUUUUCUCUCUCCCUUCCCCCUUAUUCAUUAUUUUCCUUUAUCCCUUUCUCUUUUCACCUUCACUGCACUUAAGGAGGGUGAAUGAGAUACCAGGAUGCAUCUUAGAGACGCGAAGCAUAUCAUAAAGUUUGUCAAGCUGAUAGUCAUGAACACUGAUCGUGAACAAGCUGAUGCUCAAGGUCGUCUCCCCGCUUGGUUCCGUGCAUAUUGUCAUACCUUCACUAAUUUCAUCGUAUAAAUUGAAAUAUGGGAGGGGGGAGCCUUGGAGCACAAGUUCAUAGGACACUGAAAGUGGGGGCCUAAUGCAGGUACGUGGGUUUAGUGUGGAGAGGCAUCACAGCAUGGACAAGGUAGGCUGAGGUGUCUUGUUUCUAUGAUGUACCAUUCUAUAAAAUUUCCUUAUCCAUAUUCACAACCACCUAUUCAAACUUACCAUUGCAUGUGAUAUCUAUACCCAUCAGUUGAAUAAGGUAACCUCUAAAUACUCUCCUCUAUCUGCCAAGACAACACCCUAUGCUACUUAUAAUGACACUUUCCACUGUCUAGCCUUUACUCCAAUGAGACUGUUGAAGAGUUGGCCUUAAAAAGAUUCAAAGAUUCAAAAAACUUUAUUGUCACUCUAACCGUACAUCAGCUCUGCAGGGCAGAAUGAGACAGCGUUUCCCAGCAGCAGUGCAAUCAUAACAUAACAAACUCAACACUAAAUAAUAAACAUAACAAUAAAUAGUAAAACACAACAGCCACAUGUCAGUUAAAAUCAAGUUAUAAGUGUCCAGUGCAAGUUAAGUGUCCAAAGCGGAGUCAGGUGGAGCAGCUAUUUAGUAGUCUGACUGCCUGUGGGAGGAAGCUGUUUAGUAAUCUUGUGGUUUUAGUUUUGAUGCUCCUGUAACGUUUGCCUGAUGGCAGAAGAACAAAUAGUUCAUGGAGAGGGUGUGAGGGGUCUUUAAUGAUGUACGGUGUCUUCUGGAGGCAUCGACUCUGAAAGAGGUCUUGGACAGAAGGUAGGGAGACCCCAAUAACCUUCUCUGCUCCCCUAACCACCCUCUGCAAGGCUUUUUUGUCGACAGCACUGCAGCUGGAGUACCAGGUUGUGAUUCAAAAGGUCAGCACACUCUCAACCACGCCUCUGUAGAAUGUAGCUAAGAUGUUAGUGGGGAGUGAUGCUUGUUUAGGCUUCCUCAGAAAGUGCAGUCUCUGCUGGGCCCGUUUCACAACCCCAGUGGUAUUCCUGGACCAGGUGAAAUUGUCCGAGAUCUGCACCCCAAGGAACUUGAUGUUUUCCACUCUAUCCACUGUGGAGCCGCUGAUGCUGAGGGGUGUGUGCUCAGGCUGAGACAAUCUGAAAUGGACAAUCAUCUCCUUGGUUAUGGUGACAUUAAGCAUAAAAAAAAAUCUCAGUUAUAACCUUACCUGCACCUUUGCUUUUGUUUCCUGUAAAGCCUUUACUUUUCCACUCGGUUGUUCUCCUUGAUCGCUCAUCGUUGUUCAUUUCUGUUUAGGGAAAGCAAGUUGGGUAUGCGGACAGAAUUAGCUAGGCCACAUUCAGCAGAUCAAACCCUAUACUCCAUUGUCACUAGUUCAAUGUGUGUGUUAUAUAAAUAUCCUUCUCAAACCUUUAAGGAAAGCUGUAGAACUUGUAUGCAGUGUUCUUCACUGAGGUUGACUUAAUUUGGAUGUUUGCGAAGUAUCAGUAUGUUAAUUUCUUGGCUGUGGGCUCUUUCCAUCGUCUUACUCGCUAAACUACUGACCAUUCAACCUCUCUUGCAACUUCCUUCAGAAUCUGUCUUUCCAAUCUAACAUUACCUCAACCCAAUCUUGACUUCCUCUUCCUUACAUUUUUCAUCAACGUGCCUGUACAUAUUCUUGAAAAUGCUGGCUGCAAGGUUCACUGCAACUGCAUAACUAAACUUGUAGGGGUUUUGCGACUGUCAAAGCUCUAAAAUCAUUCUAAUCAAAUCCAAUAAUGAAAUGCAAUGUGAUGGUAAUGUAUUAUCGCUCACUAUCAUCCUUAACUUGGCUUUUAAGAUUGAUGACCACAUCAUCAUGUGCAGUGGGACUGUGCUCACCUACUUUCUCUUAACUAUAAUGAACAAGAUGGAAUGAAUCUGCUGCUUUGCCAUUUCUUCCCUUUUCCACGAGCUGAUGGAUAUAACUCGAAGUCCCCAAGAAUAUAGGCACAAAAGACUGCAGGUGCUAUAAUCUGGAGGAACUCAGUGAGUCAGGCAGCAUCUGUAGAGGCAAAGGCAGAGUUGACAUUGCAGGUCAAGACCCUGCAUUUGGUCCAGUAAGCCACAGAAGCUGUUUUGCCCACUAAAUUUCCCCAGUUUUUAUUUUUCCUUAAGACUGUUUACUUGAUCUCCCAUAUUUAAACUACGUGCUGCCCUUGAGUGUUAGGAUGUGACUUAUGCUAACAGCACCCAGCUCAAUUUGGCCACCUCAUUUGACGCUUUCAUUUGCCUCUUGUAAGAUUUGUUUCAAAUCCAGUCCAGUCCCAAGUAAAAUACAGUUUCCUGCAUUGAAAUAUUGGGAGGCCAAUGUCUUUGAUCCUCAUCAUAAAUUCACUGCUUAUUCUGCUCCCACUUUGGACUGAAUCAGGCUACUUGGAACUCUAACAUUAUAUUUCAUCCUGAGCAAAGCUUCUAGCUCUAUAUCUUCAUUACAAAGACCAUCUAGCUUCUGUUAUUUUUCCCAUCUUUACCUUCUUUUACUGAAACUCAUCCAUUCACUUGCUACUUCCAAAUUAAACUAUUCCAGGAUCCAAUUUCUCUCCCAUCCUCUCUGUAAAGCCAAGUUAACCCAUACUACUAUCCAUAUGUUAUAUUUAAUUCAUACCCAUCCUUUUCUCCAAUUAACUUGCCCUUGCUGAUUUCCAGUGACAUUUGGCCAUCCAACAUCUAAAUGUUAAUAUUCACAUCCUUUCAUUUCCCUCUGUUGCCUUAUCUCUCCCUUUCUCUAGUACUACCAAGAAAUGAUUGAGUUUCUGGAUUUUAUUGAAUUUUAAAAAGUACUUAUGUAAAGGAAAUUUGCUCCCUUGAUGUGAGCCGGCCUGCCUGUGACUGAAUCAACAGCAAUUUGGUUGCCAUAAUUAACCCAUAAUUAAUGUAGAAAGAUGCAACAACAGCAUAACAAAAAUAAAAGCAGGCCAUCCUGAUCUGGCCACUUGAACACAGCAAAGACCAACCCAAGCCCUUGUGAACAAUGAGUAUUCCAAAACUGUAUGAGUUCCAUGGAUUAAGCCCACCAUUCUACAUCUCUGAUAUUGCCCUGUACUAUCAAACACAACAGACCCAUAAUGGGUGAUGUGCAGUGGUAUGUUGGUGGAAGCAGUAGCCCAGGUUAACGAAGACUGAACCCAUAAACUCUGGCAUUAAGCCACACUGGCAAAGAAACCAGAUCUCACUCUACCUCCUGCUCUGAGCUGGUAAGUGUACUGCUAUGUAGUGAACACCACUUGAAAGUACAUACUCCAAUUUUGCUAUUGGUUGCCAAAAUCAUCACUGUUAAUAGAGUCCUACUGCUUGUUGGUAUCGUUCUGUAGAUAGUGAGGAAAUCCACGGGACAGACCUAUUAACCUCAUUGAGUAUUCCUAAUCGGCUCCUGUAUAUCUAAAUACUUAAAUAUCUGGUACCUUGGAAUACAUUACAAUAACUUUCCCACUGCUGAUGUCAGGCUCACAGGCCUAUAAUUUUCUGUCUUAUUCUUAGAGCCUUCCUUUCACAACAAAAUUAGCUUUCCUCAGCAUCUUACCCGUGGCUAAGGACACUUUUAAUACCUCUGCUAGGGCCCCUGCGAUUUCUGUACUAGACUCCCACAAGAUUCGAGGGGACAAAUUGUCAGGCCCUGGGGACUUGCACUCUAGUUUGCCUCAAAACAAAAUACCUCGGUAAUUUGUAUACGGUCCAUGACUAGUGGUGUUUUGUCUUAGUUCUAUGAAUUCUGUCUAUCUUCCAGGUAAAUAAAGAUGCAAAAAUGAAAAACCAUUUAAAAUUCCCCUCCCCCCCAUCUCUUUUGGCUCCACGCAUAGGUGAACAUGCUGAUCUUCGAGAGGACCAAUUUUGUCCUUGUAGAGAUGGUCUCAUCUUCACGUAGUGGAUGCUCUAUGUUGUGUUAAAUAGGUUGAAUUCAGAACACAGCUAGCAGCUCAAAACGUGGGAUUCAUAAAACUGGGUGAUCUGCAGCACCUGAGUUAUAUUUCACCGCAACUUAAUUCCAGAAAAGCAUGAUGCUCCAUCAGUAUAAUCAAAACUGGGACGAUCCCUAAUUCAGUGUAAAGCUCUCUAGGAGUAGCAACGUAUCAUUAAAAAGUUGCUAAGGUCACAACAGGGGGUUACACGUGCUAAAUAGCAAAGGACGCAUCCUUUAAAUGGCGAGGUAAUCCCACUGCAUUGGAUGACGUGACGGCUAUUCUGUAAUGUCCAGUGCUAAAUGGUGCUAGUUAAUUAAAACACCACAAAACCAAAGGGUGGCAUUGGGUAGAGUAUGGAAAGGCUGAGGUGUUUAUGACCAUUCCACCUAGAAGUGUUGAGUGGUGCUCCAUCAAUUAGUUAAUCCUGUUUGAUCACUGGACAUGAUCUCGAACAGUGGCUUGGAACACUUAACAAAGCAAAGGCUUGGGAACCUGGCCACAAAACAGGAACAUCAUUUGUAUUUUGUUGAUCUGUCCUUGUACAGCGACGACGCUGGCUCUACUUGCCAAAAAGAGGAACAAAUCCAAACUAACACACUCGGUCGAUCUUCAAUCAUCACCAGUAUGAUAGAAGGUCCUAUUAACAAUGUAAUCAGAUGGCACUGACUCAGUGAUAAACUGCUUGCUGAAACUUAGCUAGGAUUUCUUGUCACCUCACCUCAAUAGCUUUGGUCCAAAUAAGGGUCAUAGAGUUGAAUUCCAGAAGUGAAGUGAGUGUCCUCAACAUCAAAACAUCAUUGGACCAAGUAUGGCAUCAAGGAGCCCUGGAAGCCAAAUGGGCACUGGAGGGGAAAAGAAUCACUAGCUGGUGCAAAGGAUGAUAUAUUUGGUGGAAGCCAAUGAAAUCAGUACUAGAACACCACUAAGAUUUCUUCAAAGCAGUUUCAUCUGCUUCAUAAUGAGGUCAAUAUUGGAUAUUCACUGAUAAUGUACAAUAUUAAUUUCUGUUGGCACAAUAGAUAAUAUCUGCAUGUAGAAACGCCAGGGUACACUGAUUAGUAGUAAAAACAUUUAUUCCAUAAUGAGUACAAGUGAUUACUCACCUACUCUUGGUGCUUAAAUAGCACUACCACUACUGAGACUACUAUCAUCAACAUCUUGAAAGUUACGAUGUGACUAAAAUCUUAGCCGGGCCUUCCACUUAAGUAUUGAUCAACUGCAGUGUGUAUCUCACCUCUGGAACCUCCUCCCUUUCCACCUACAAACUAUUCAGAAGAUGCAUAUCCAUGGGGAAAAAAAUUGCUUGCCACCUUGUCUUAUCAGUUGAAACAUUCACUCCCUCCAUCACUGGUAUUCUAUUGCUGCAAUGCAUACCAUCUAUGAAAUUUAUUGCAGUUACUUGCUAUGGCUUCUUCAAUUACACUUCCCCAAACAAGUAAACAAUUACGGAGAUAUGUCCUUGGACUAAGCGCUGUAGGAGAAAGGGGCCGCAGUGGUUCAAGAAAGUGCUUCAUUGACUCUGAGUAGGGCUGGGCUAUAAAUCCCGGAUAUUAUAGAACUAAUCACAUCCUGUAAAUAAGGGGAACUGUGUGCCAUAAUUCCUGCCGUUAACUGCAUCUUCAAUUCCCUUCUCCCCACCUCCAAAGUAUAUACUGUUUCUUUCAUAGUGCUCAGAAUGCAUUCCUAGAAACAAAUACUAAAGGGAGUUGUAAUAGAUUUUUACAUAGAAGCAUGAUGUAAACGCCUGCUCUCUUAUGUUGUGCAGUAAUGCAUUGUACCAUAAUGCAGUGUGGAGGUGUAGCCACUCAGUAUUGAGAUGUAGCGCUGCACCUUUGGCGAGUACAAUGAGCACCUUUGCACUUAUUCCAGGUGCGCAGCCAGAAAUCUUUGUACCUAUUGGUCCAAAUGGCACAGGUAGGAAAAGGGGUGAGACCCUGAAGAGAGAAUUUAAGAAGUUAGGUAGAAUGCUGCUAAGCAAGACCUCCGGGAUAGUAAUCUCUAGAUCACUGGUCAGUAAGAGUAAGUAAUGGGAGAUGAAUUUGUGGCUGAGGAGCUGAUGUAUGGCUUCAGAUUUCUCGAUCACUGGGAUAUCUUCUGGGGAAGGGACAGGUUACACCUGAACCUAACGAGGACCAAUGCCCUUGUGGGCAGGUUUGCUAGAGCUACUGAGGAGGGUUGAAACAAAAUUGGCAGUGGUGUUUAAACCAGGGUGAUAGGGCUGAGAAUGGGGUGGUUGGUGUACAACUAGAUUCAUUGGGCAGUGAGACUGUUAGGAAGGACAGGCAAUUGAUGGGGCAAAAUUGCAGUGAGUGUAACAUGGGGACAAAAUCAAAAAGAAUGACGAAUACAAAACUGAACGUGUUGUAUUUGAAUGCAUACAGUAUCCUGAAUAAGGUAGAUGAUACUGUGGACAUCACUGAGUCGUGGCUGAAAGAAGAUCAUAGUUGAGAGCUUAACAUUGUAUCAAAAGCAUAGACAGAGGGGCUGGCAUGGCUCUGUUGGUUAAAAAAAUAUAAAUCAAAUCCUUAUCAGUGACUUAGGAUUGGAAGAUGCAGAAUCGUUGUGAGUAGAGUUAAGGAACUACAAAGGUUGAAUUACCCUGAUGGCAGUUAUAUACAGGCCUCUGAACAGUAGCUAGGAUGUGGGCUACAACUUACAAUGGGAGAUUGAAACCUCAUGUCAAAAGGGCAAUGUACUGAUAGUUAUGGGGGGGGGGGUUCAAUAUGCAGGCAGUUUGGGAAUAUCAGGUUGGUACUGAUUCCCAAGAGAGAUCAUUUGUGUGUGUGUGUCUGUCUGUCUCUCUCUCUUUCUCUCGCUCUCUCUCUCUCUCUCGCUCCAUCCAUCCCAUAGGGUGAUGGUUCCUUUCAGUCAGUUAAUGGGGUGGUACCCCACUCUUCAGAAAGGAACAGUGUGUGCGUGAAUGGAUUUUACAUGAGUUUGGGGUUGUACAGGUCCAGACCUACCCUCUCGACAUCCCCUCCUGGAUCCAGCGGCAUGGUGGGGUCUGUUGCAGUGAAUGGCCAGACCAAGCUUCAAUGCAAGGGAUGCCCUUUCCACGCUUCACGGCACGUGUUUGCUAGAUGGCCGUUGACCCUACGAGAGGGUUCAUCCACCCUUUGACAGGUCUUGUUUUUUGUCCUGCAGGGUGUCUAGUCACCCUCCUGACCUGGUGGGGGAGCCGGUUUAGUUGCCGACCAUGCGACAAGCAGUACUGGGUUACAUGGAACCAGUAGCACUCAGAUGAGUGACCUGACGUGAUCAUUUGUAGAAUGUCUAUGAGGUGACUUUUUAGAGCAGCUUGUGAUUGAGCCCAAUAAGGGAAAGGCUAUUCUGGAUUGUGUUUUGUGUAAUGAACCUGAUUCGAUUAGGGGGUUUAAGGAAAACCCUUAGGAGUCAGUGAUCAUAUGAUCAACUUCAUCGUACAGUUUGAGAAGAAGAAGCUGAAGUCAGAAGAAUUAAAAUUACAGUACAGUAAAGGGAAUUACAGACGCAUGAGAUACAACAAGCUGGCUGAAGCUGAUUAGAAAAGGAUGACAGCAGAACAGUACUGGCUGGACUUUCUACAGAAAUUCAUAAGGCACAGGAUAGAUAAAUCCCAUAGAAGUAGCAUUCUAAAGGUGAUGACACAACCGUGGUUGACGAGGGAAUUCAAAACCAACAGAAAAAAAAUCUGGAACAUAUUUAAAAACCAACAGAAGGCAACUAAAUAAGUUAUAAGGUGUGAAAAGAUGAAAUUAUGUAGGUAAGCUAGCCAAUAAUAUCAGAGAAUACCAAAAAUUUCUUCAGAUACAUAAAGAGUAAAAGAGAGGCAAGAAUAGAUAUUGGACUGCUGGGUGACAAAGGAAUGCCGAAUGAACUGAAUAAGUAUUAUGCAUCCAUCUUCACUGUGGAAGACACUAGUAGUAUGCCAGAAGCUCGAAAGUGUGGGGGUCAGAAGUGAGUGCAAUUUCUGUUACUAGGCAGAAGGUGCUUGAGAAGCUAAAAGGUCUGAAGAUAAAUAGGUCACAUAGGCCAGAUAGACCACAAUUCGGGGUUCUAAAAGGUAGCAGAAGAGAUUAUGGGAGCAUUAGUAAUGAUCUUUAAAGAAUCACAUUCUGGCAUGGUUCUGGAGGAAUGGAGAAAUGCAAAUGUCACCCACUCCACUCAAGAAGGGAGGGAAGCAAAAGAAAGGAAAGUAUAAGCAAGUUGUCCUGACCUCAAUGUUUGGGAAGAUGUUGCAGUUGAUUGUUGAAGAUGAGGUCUCAGGAUACUUGGAUGUACAUGAUAAAAUAGGUCAUGAUUUUCUUAAGGGAAAAUCUUGCCUGACAAAUCUGUUGGAAUUCUUUGAAGCAAUAGCAAGUAGGAUAGACGAAGUAAAGUUGGUGGAUGUUGUGUACUUGGAUUUUCAGGUCAUUGCCAAGAUGUUGCACAUUAGGCUGCCUAGCAGGAUAAGAGCCGAUGGCAUUACAGGAAAGAUACUAGCAUUAAUAGAGUAUUGGGUGAUUGACAGGAUGCAAAGAUUGGGAAUAAAGGAAGCCUUUUCUGAUUAGCUGCUGGUGACUAGUGGUGUUCUGCAGGAGUUGGUAUUGGGACUGCUUUUUAUGUUGUAAGUCAGUGAUCUGGAUGCCUGAAUUGAUGGCUUUGUGGACAAAUCUGCAGAUGAAGCAAAUAUAGGUGAAGGGACAAGUAGUGUUGAGGAAGCAGGGAGGCUGAAGAAGAACUUGGGAGAUAUUAGGAGAAUGGGCAAAAGAAGUGGCAGAUGGAAUACAGUGUUGAAAAGUGUAUGGCCAUGUACUUUGGUACAAGGAGUAAAAACAUGGACUAUUUUUCUAAAGAGGGAGAAAAUACACAACUCCGAUGUGCAAAGGGACAAGUCAUUGGUGAGGCCUCGUUUGGUUCUUGUUGAGUCAGGGUGUGAAAGUUUAUGGGGAGGAGACAGGAAAAUAGGGUCGGGAGGGAAAAUGGAUAAACCAUGAUGAAAUGGCAGAGCAGACUUGAUGAGCCAAAUGGCCCAAUUCUGCUCCUAUCUCUUAUGAUCUUGUGGUGUUAACAUUCCUUCUGGGUCAUACAAUUUCUCUGUCACUCUAUUACUAAGCAUAUCAUCAUAUUCCUCAUGUUAAUGUUAUGUCAAUAUACCAUUCUUUUUUUCCAUAUAUUCCCUUGACUCCCUCUAACCCCACCAUUGGUGACCAUGAUCCUUGCCAACUGGGCUCCAGUUUAAAAAUCCUUCCUUAAACCCUGAUGAAAUAAAAAAAAAUAGCCAUCUCUUUUAUUUUUUUAUUUUUAUCUAUUUUACUUUCCGUAAAGCAUUUUGAGCUCUUUUGCUGUCAAAAGUGAUAUGUAAGUUGUGUUGUAAUAAUAUUUGCGCAUUGGCACGUGGCCAGGUGAUUAAGGUGUUUGUCUAGUGAUUUGAAGGUCGCUAGUUUGAGCCUUGGCUAAGACUGCGUGUGUGUCCUUUAGCAAGGCACUUAACCACACAUUGCUCUGUGAUGACACUGGUGCCAAGCUGUGUGGGUCCUAAUGCCCUUCCCUCGGACAACAUUGGUGGUGUGGAGAGGGGAGACUUGCAGCAUGGGCAACUGCUGGUCUUCCAUACAACCUUGCCCAGCCCUGUGCCCUGGAAACCUUUCCAAGGUGCAAAUCCAUGGUCUCAUGAGACUAACAAAUGCCUAUAAAUAAUAUUUGCAUGCAUGUUUUCACAAUGAUAAUUGAAUAGCUAUUCAGAAUCUUCCAACUGGUAACUGUGGAGCGUUAAGAGUGUGACCCUAUUGGCAUAGGAGUCAGUGGGGUUAUCUUGGUCCGUUUUAUUCAUUGUGACAUACAGUAAGUUUUAAAUUUUAUACAGAUUGUCCUUAACAGUAAAUUUUGAUUGUGUAGUUACUUGUAUGUAUAAAGGCAGUUGUAAUUGAUCAAGUUUCUAUAUAAUAAAAAAUAUAAAAUACUGAUGCUGGCAGAAAAUAAUUGAU